UCUACUGGCAAGUUUUAAUUGUUUUUGAACUUGAUAUCACUGAGGCUGUUAUGAGAGGAUUAAUCUUUGAGUCACUCUGAGGUGAGGCCCUGCCAGGCUGUCUCUGCGAUGACCUUCCUUGGUUGCCCCAAGGGGAAUGGCCAUUGCAAUGCUAGUCAAAAUAGUUCCAGUUCGGCCAUCUAUGAAAGAAUAAUGGCCCCAAAGAUGCCAAUGCCCUAAUAUAUGGAAUCUACAAGUAUGUCCCCUUACUCGGCCAAAAGAUACUUUUCAGCUGUGAUGUUAACUGCCUUAAGAUGGGGAGGUUAUCCAGGUGGGUCCAAUCUAAUCACGUGUCAUUAAAAGCCGAGCACAUUUCUCCACUACAGUCAGAGAAUGUCGGGACGGAAGACAGGCUGGAGAGAUGCAGCAUGAUAGUCUUUGAAGAAAGUGGAAGGGGGCCAUGAGCCAAGAAAUGUGGAGACCUCUAGAAGCUGGGAAAGGUUUCUGUUGACCAGAGUUGCUGUCCUAACCCCUACUGGUCAGGUUGGAAGACAAGCCUUAAGGAUGUUACAGGCUGCUCACCCAGUGCCGGAGGCAUCGUUCAUCCCUGUGGCUCCUGCAACUUCUCAGUCUCAACACCAGGGGCUGGAUCCUGCUUCUCUGAAGGUAUUUGUACUCAGAAGAAAGCUGGGAGGAGGGAUCUGUUGAUGCGUAGAAUGCAGGUCUUUUGGUGUAAGGUCAGCUUCUGAGUUAAAAGCAAAUUAGUUACCCCUCCAAAUGUCAUCAAGGCUAGUCGCUAUGCGAUGGCAACUUCCUGUAAGCAGUUGUCUUUGGCCUUCUAUAAGUGAAACCACAUCAGCUGGAAGAGAGUUAAUUUGAACUUUAAUUAUAUUGAUGACAAAAUUAACCUUUCAGGGAGAUGUGGAAAUUGAAGCUCUGAUACCAGAUUCAGUAUAAAAAUCUCUGUCAUUGAAGACAGCUGGAAUAUUAGCUGAGUAAAGCUUUAGAAGUUACUUCCAUUAUGAUGUAUCAUAGAAGUAAAUGAAUUAAGGAGGCAAGUGUCUACUUCAAUAUUAUGCAAUUUUUUAAUGGAGGCUAGGAAAAAGAAACCU